GUGAUAAUAUAUGAGGUGAUAAAAAUUAAUGUAUUAAUAAAACAAUCUUUGCUGAAGCUUAACGAUUUGGUCUCAUUUUCAGUCCAAGCUUGGCGUAAUUUCUAUUACCAUUUUUCUUCCCUACAUGUGAGAUGAAGCAGCAAUGGCAUAGUUAACCUUAUUACUCUUUGCUGUCCAUAAUCUUUCAAUUUUUACGAGUGCCACCGGAGAACAUUUCCCAUUUAGUUCUCUAACCCUUUACUAUCUUGCAGGAGUAGAUACUAACCACUUCCACUAAUAUAAUCCAGCCGGACAUAGGCCUUUAUCUCGAAUAGUACAUUCAUAACCAAAUAUUUACUUGUAUUUCCCUUGCUGUAGACAUACCUCUAUCUUGACUAUCUGCGUGCCCCCGGUGUCAAAGAACAUCAUUCAUGUCAUUUAAUUAUUUUUUAAUUGUUUUUCCAUUAAAAAUACUAAAAAUAAAUUUCUCUAUUUUUUAUUUUUUUUUUUCCAGCUGCAUGUUUAUAAAAGGAACAAAGCUCAAAUUU
rnacentral:misc_RNA from 1 species